CCAACGGCCCUCUUUAGGGCCACAAUUUGAGUAGUUGAAUUACGU
rfam:Angiostrongylus costaricensis strain Costa Rica genome assembly, scaffold: ACOC_scaffold0001386